UGCGUAGGCGGCUGUCUAAGCAGGGUGUGAAAGCCCCCGGCUCAACCGGGGAAUUGCGUUCUGAACUGGACGGCUGGAGUGGGAUAGGGGUGUGUGGAACUUCCGGUGGAGCGGUGAAAUGUGUUGAUAUCGGAAGGAACGCCGGUGGCGAAAGCGACACACUGGGUCUCAACUGACGCUGAGGCACGAAAGCCAGGGGAGCGAACG
rnacentral:rRNA from 1 species